rnacentral:rRNA from 1 species
CAAUAGCGUAUAUUAAAGUUGUUGCGGUUAAAAAGCUCGUAGUUGGAUUUCUGCCGAGGACGACCGGUCCGCCCUCUGGGUGUGUAUCUGGUUUGGCCUGGGCAUCUUCUUGGAGAACGUAGCUGCACUUGACUGUGUGGUGCGGUGUCCAGGACUUUUACUUUGAGGAAAUUAGAGUGUUUCAAGCAGGCACACGCCUUGAAUACAUUAGCAUGGAAUAAUAAGAUAGGACUUUGGUUCUAUUUUGUUGGUUUCUAGAACUAAAGUGAUGAUUAAUAGGGACAGUCGGGGGCAUUCGUACUCAACUGUCAGAGGUGAAAUUCUUGGAUUUGUUGAAGACGAACUACUGCGAAAGCAUUUGCCAAGGAUGUUUUCAUUGA